rnacentral:rRNA from 1 species
AAUUAAAACUUUCAACAACGGAUCUCUUGGCUCUGGCAUCGAUGAAGAACGCAGCGAAAUGCGAUAAGUAAUGUGAAUUGCAGAAUUCAGUGAAUCAUCGAAUCUUUGAACGCACAUUGCGCCCGCCAGUAUUCUGGCGGGCAUGCCUGUUCGAGCGUC